rnacentral:rRNA from 1 species
UACGGGGGGUGCGAGCGUUGUCCGGAAUCACUGGGCGUAAAGGGCGCGUAGGUGGUUUGAUAAGGGUGUGGUGAAAGCCCGGGGCUCAACCCCGGGAGGCGGGUGGAUACUGUCAAGCUCGAGUCCGGAAGAGGCGAGUGGAAUUCCUGGUGUAGCGGUGAAAUGCGCAGAUAUCAGGAGGAACACCAAUGGCGAAGGCAGCUCGCUGGGACGACACUGACGCUGAGACGCGAAAGCGUGGGGAGCAAACAGG